CAACAACAACAACAACAACAACAACAAUCACUACAGUCAUAACAAAAAUAGUAAGAACUUUCGAAAAGAUAUACUAAAAAUAGACGAAGUAGAUGUUCUUAGUAGUUACAUUCAUGAAUAUAAAAAUAAUAUAUUAGACGAAGAAGAAGAUUUUAGCAUAUUAUUAAAAAGAAGCGUCAUCGACAGUGAUACUUUAAAAAAUGACAAGUUACAAAGUGACACAAUAAAAAAUGCGCAUAGAUUGCAAGAAUUAAAAAAAAACCAAAACAGUAACGAUGAAUAUAACGAACAAGUGAUAGAUAUGUACCAAUAUGAUGAGAUUUACAGAGAUUACAAUAAAAGCAUUAUAGAUGAUUUAAAUUAUUCCGACAUUGCUAUAAAUUAUAGUACAGACGAAGACAAAAAUUACAUGUCAAGAGAAGAAUAUGUUGACGAAUGUAUAAAACAAGAACAUGGAAAUAAACAGGGUUACCAUAAUAAGUGUCAAAAUUUUAAAUCCAGCACUCCUGAUAGUAGCUUUAGCAUACUAAAAGACUUCGAUAAUAAUUUAGAAAGCGGUAUAAUGGUUUUUGAAAAAAUUAAAAAAAAAACUUUUAAUAAAUUUUAUGAUAAUGGAAAAGUAUUAGUUACAAAUAAAAAUCAGCAUAAUGGUAUAGAAGGACAAGAAGUAAUAGUAUCCGAAUGUAUGGAUGGGGUAAUAAUGACAUCUCCAAACGGAUAUGUUAAUGAUGAACAUUCCCUAUGGCUUAAUGGACAUUCUAAAGAAAUAGACAAUGAAAAUGAUGCCGUUAGGGCAUAUUUCACCACACAAGAUGACGAAAGCGAAGGGAGUGAUGGUAGCAACUGUAGUGACAGUAAUUGCAGUAAUCCUAACAAUAAAGUAUGUAAUAAUGAUUCAUAUAAUAGCAUUUGUAGAUUGAAAAAAAAAAAUAAUUUUGAAUUAAAAUUAUCAAAUAAAACAAAGGAUACACAUCUUUUUAUUUUUAUUACUUUAUGUGAUAAUUUACAAGAAACAUUAUUAAAUAAUUUUAAUAAAGAUAUACAAAUAAAAUGCCUUGAUAUAUUUUACCAGUUUUGUAAUCUAAGUGAAGAUAUUGUUAAUAUUAUUAUAUCCAAUACUUCGUUAGUAGAUUGGAUACUUGAUUUCUUAGCAAAUACAAAAUAUGAGGGUUUAAAAUAUAAAGCUUUAAAUUUUUUAGUCACUUUUUUUUUUAACAACUCUUUAUUUUCUCAUACACAUGCCUAUUAUAUGCUAGAUGUUAUGAUUAACAUUAUUUUAAACUAUGUAAAUAAAACUAAUGGUGUUUCUAGUAAUUUUGAUAAUGAUAUAUAUGAUAUUGACAUAAAUGUUAACUGUUCUUUUUUUUUUUUUUUUAUCAAAUCAUUAAAUAUGCUCAUUGAUAUAUCAAAAUCUUCUAUUAAACCUUUUCACGUAUUUAAACUAAUGAAAGUUAUUUCUGCUUUUAUAGUAUCAUCACCAGACGCUACUCCUUCUAAUGUAACAGAAAUUAUUAUGCUAUUCGAAAAUAUUUUACUAAUUAAACAGAAUACAAAAACAGAAAAUGCUAGCCACGAUUUCGUCAACACAACAGGGGAAAUUAGUUAUAGCAGCGAAUCCAGUACUAAUGUCAGUCAUACUAUUUUACAAAAUGAAAAAAAAUCAAGUACCUUUUAUUAUAAUAAUAAUAAUGAAAAUGUAAACGAUUUUUCAUGGUCUCUGCAAAAUAAAAAAUAUAACACAUUUGAUAUUUUAGUAGGACGAACAAAAAGUAACUAUAAUAGUAGUAUGGAUUCCGAUAUAAAACAAACCAAAAAUGAAAAGGCUACUUUCAAUAAUAAAGACAUUCUUAUUUCAAAUGAAACAAGUUCCUAUAAAUAUAAAAAUAAUAUAAACAAUUACAACUUUGAUAUAAACCAAAGCAAUUCUACGGAUGUAGUACAUAAAAGCAAACAACACAUCAAAUUACACAACGCAAUUAACAAAGUAUAUAUUACUAACAUCCCAGCACUUUAUGAAAUACUAAAAACUGCUUUAAAUGUUAUUAAGAUUUUAAAUAUAAAUAAACAGGAUAUAUCUGUUGAGUUAAUUUUUCAUGACACAAAUGAUUUUAUUUAUGAGCUCACCAAAGCAAUGAUGAAACUACUUUUUUCAGUAGUAUACAUAAUAAAUAAAAAUGAAAAAUCAUCAGUUAUUAAUUUAAAUAUUAUAGAUAAAAAAAAAAAUAUAGAAUGUAGUAAUGAAUUAAAAAUAGUUAUAUUUAUAAAAUUAAUUCUGCAAUUUUUUAUAGAAUUACAAUCAUUUUUUAAAAAUAUUACAAAAGAAAAAAAUACGAUAUUCAAAAAAGAUGUUAUCAAUUUUAUUCAAUUUUUAUAUCUCACUUGUAUAUUUAUUUUUGAAAGUAUAAAUGAACAGAAAAAAAUGUUUAGCGCAAUAAGUACUAAUAUUUUUUUCACUUCAUUUUUUACACCAUUCUUUCAUUUUUUUUCUAAUGUGCUAAAUAAUUUUCACGACAUUUCUACGUCCCUUAUUACAACCAUGCCACUACACUCUACCACCAAUAUGGAUCCACGACAAAAUACAACAAAAUUAAUGGAAUACUCAAAAGAUGGUUAUAAUUCUCAAAACAAAAAAGAGCAAACCAAACGUGGAAAUCUUAAUAAGAACAGUCUCGUUGAUGAUAACGACGACAAUAACAACAAUAACGACAAUAAUACUAAUAACGAUAAUAACACUAAUAACGAUAAUAACAACAAUAACGUCAAUAACAAUAAUAACGACAAUAACACUAAUAACGACAAUAACACUAAUAACGACAAUAACACUAAUAACGACAAUAACAAUAAUAAAGACAAUAACAACAAUAACGACAACCGCCAUAAUAACGAUUCUUUUAGUAAUACUUUUUUUAUGUACAAUAAGUACAUGCGACAUGCCCUAAUCAAGCAAAAACCGUUUACCUUGUUUUUUCAAUAUGUGUCCAAUAAUAAUUAUAGUACCAAUUGCUACCGAAUCCUGGAUCUACUCAUUUAUGAUGAAGAUGCUGUGUUAAAAGUGAGGCCAAAUAAAAACGAUAUUUUAAUUGAGCUAAUAAAUAAAAACGAUUUUUAUUUUACUAAAAUAUUAUCCUUCAAUUUUAAUGAUAAUGAAGGAAUAAUCGAAACAGUUAUAUAUAUUUUUUAUUUAUGUCUUAGCUAUGAUAAAGGUUUUAUAGAAAAAAAACUAAAUCAUAGUAAGAUGCAUAAUUAUGUCGAAAAUAUAUUUACUUAUAAUGAUGAUAAUAUAAAUUUAAACCCUUUCUUUUUAUUUAUGGCAUUAACAUACGCUUAUUAUUAUAUAACCCAAGAUAAAAUAUUGUCAAUUUUAAAAUGUAUUAAAAAAGAAAUGCAUAAAAUAAAUUUACAAUCCUGCAAUCAGACAAAAUAG
rnacentral:lncRNA from 1 species